GCAGCCGCGGUAAUUCCAGCUCCAAUAGCGUAUAUUAAAGUUGUUGCAGUUAAAAAGCUCGUAGUUGAAUUUUAGGCCUGGCCGGACGGUCCGUCUCUGGCGAGUACUGUUCUGUCGUCGGGUCUAUCUUUCUGGUGAAUCGGUAUGUUCUUAAUUGGGCGUGCCGGGGAGCCAGGACCAUUACCUUGAAAAAAUUAGAGUGUUUAAAGCAGGCUUUUGCUUGAAUAGAUUAGCAUGGAAUAAUAGAAUAGGACGUUGUGGUUCUAUUUUGUUGGUUCAAGGACCACCGUAAUGAUUAAUAGGGAUAGUUGGG
rnacentral:rRNA from 1 species